rnacentral:rRNA from 1 species
AAGCUUGCUUUUCUGAUGACGAGUGGCGCACGGGUGCGUAACGCGUAUAGAACCUACCCUUUACAGGGGGAUAGCCCGGAGAAAUUCGGAUUAAUACCCCAUAGUACUACGAGAAGGCAUCUUUUUGUGGUUAAAGUAUUACGGUAAAGGAUGGCUAUGCGUCCUAUUAGUUCGUAGGUGAGGUAACGGCUCACCUAGACUUCGAUAGGUAGGGGCCCUGAGAGGGGGAUCCCCCACACUGGUACUGAGACACGGACCAGACUCCUACGGGAGGCAGCAGUGAGGAAUAUUGGACAAUGGUCGAGAGACUGAUCCAGCCAUGCCGCGUGCAGGAAGACUGCCCUAUGGGUUGUAAACUGCUUUUUUACGGGAAGAAUAAUACCCACGUGUGGGUAGAUGACGGUACCGUACGAAUAAGGACCGGCUAACUCCGUGCCAGCAGCCGCGGUAAUACGGAGGGUCCGAGCGUUAUCCGGAAUUAUUGGGUUUAAAGGGUCCGCAGGCGGGCCAGUAAGUCAGGGGUGAAAGUUUGCGGCUUAACCGUAAAAUUGCCUUUGAUACUGCUGGUCUUGAGUUGCGGUGAAGUGGCCGGAAUAUGUGGUGUAGCGGUGAAAUGCAUAGAUAUCACAUAGAACACCGAUUGCGAAGGCAGGUCACUAACCGCCGACUGACGCUGAUGGACGAAAGCGUGGGGAGCGAACGGGAUUAGAUACCCCGGUAGUCCACGCCGUAAACGAUGGACACUAGCUGUCGGGCCUUUUUGGUUCGGCGGCCCAGCGAAAGUGAUAAGUUCCC